rnacentral:misc_RNA from 1 species
GAUGAAGAACGUAGCGAAAUGCGAUAAGUAGUGUGAAUUGCAGAAUUCAGUGAAUCAUCGAAUCUUUGAACGCACAUUGCGCCUUCUAGUAUUCUGGGAGGCAUGCCUGUUUGAGCGUCAUUAAACCUCUCUCAAGUAUGAUUACUUGGAUGUGAAGGAAGAGUACCUUAAACUUAAGGAGUGUUCUCCUUUGAAAUUGAUUAGCAGAUGGUAAUGUUAUUAAAUCCCUGAUGUUGUAAGAAAUAACAGUGGUUUUGUAGACUAUUAUCUAGCUUUAAAUUAUAAUUUUUAUUAUGGUUGACCUCAAAUCAGGUAAGGAUACCCGCUGAACUUAAGCAUAUCAAUAAGCGGAGGC